rnacentral:lncRNA from 1 species
UCUGGUGGUUCUUUUGGCAGUCAUGUUCUGAUGACUUGAUGUAUUUUUUUUUGGUUCUUUUUGGUUUUUCUUGAUUUUUAUCUCAACUUGUAUAGUUGUGUAUGUUUGUGGAUCUGUAACACCUAACAAUCUGCCUUGACAUUCUGUGUGACAUUCUGUUUGACUAAUAGACAUUUAUUUUGUCUCUUUGGUCUCUUUUGGCUAAAAAGGGGGAUAAGUAGCUAAGUAGCUAUGCUAUUUUAUAAACAG